GANGAAAGUCUGANGAGCNNGCCGCNUGAGGNGAAGNNGGGUUUCGGNUCGUAAAANUCNGUUGUUAAAGAAGACAUAUCUGAGAGUAACUNUCAGGUANUGACGGUAUUUAACCAGAAAGCCACGGCUAACUACGUGCCAGCAGCCGCGGUAAUACGUAGGUGGCAAGCGUUGUCCGGAUUUAUUGGGCGUAAAGCGAGCGCAGGCGGUUUUUUAAGUCUGAUGUGAAAGCUUUCGGCUCAACCGAAGAAGUGCAUCGGAAACUGGGAAACUUGAGUGCAGAAGAGGACAGUGGAACUCCAUGUGUAGCGGUGAAAUGCGUAGAUAUAUGGAAGAACACCAGUGGCGAAGGCGGCUGUCUGGUCUGUAACUGACGCUGAGGCUCGAAAGUAUGGGUAGCAAACAGGAUUAGAUACCCUGGUAGUCCAUACCGUAAACGAUGAAUGCUAAGUGUUGGAGGGUUUCCGCCCUUCAGUGCUGCAGCUAACGCAUUAAGCAUUCCGCCUGGGGAGUACGGCCGCAAGGCUGAAACUCAAAGGAAUUGACGGGGGCCCGCACAAGCGGUGGAGCAUGUGGUUUAAUUCGAAGCUACGCGAAGAACCUUACCAGGUCUUGACAUACUAUGCAAAUCUAAGAGAUUAGACGUUCCCUUCGGGGACAUGGAUACAGGUGGUGCAUGGUUGUCGUCAGCUCGUGUCGUGAGAUGUUGGG
rnacentral:rRNA from 2 species